UAGAAGCAGCCAUCAUUUAAAGAAAGCGUAAUAGCUCACUGGUCGAGUCGGCCUGCGCGGAAGAUGUAACGGGGCUAAACCAUGCACCGAAGCUGCGGCAGCGACGUUUAUGCGUUGUUGGGUAGGGGAGCGUUCUGUAAGCCUGCGAAGGUGGCCUGUGAGGGUUGCUGGAGGUAUCAGAAGUGCGAAUGCUGACAUAAGUAACGAUAAAGCGGGUGAAAAGCCCGCUCGCCGGAAGACCAAGGGUUCCUGUCCAACGUUAAUCGGGGCAGGGUGAGUCGACCCCUAAGGCGAGGCCGAAAGGCGUAGUCGAUGGGAAACGGGUUAAUAUUCCCGUACUUGGUGUUACUGCGAAGGGGGGACGGAGAAGGCUAUGUUGGCCGGGCGACGGUUGUCCCGGUUUAAGCGUGUAGGCUGGUUUUCCAGGCAAAUCCGGAAAAUCAAGGCUGAGGCGUGACGACGAGGCACUACGGUGCUGAAGCAACAAAUGCCCUGCUUCCAGGAAAAGCCUCUAAGCAUCAGGUAACAUCAAAUCGUACCCCAAACCGACACAGGUGGUCAGGUAGAGAAUACCAAGGCGCUUGAGAGAACUCGGGUGAAGGAACUAGGCAAAAUGGUGCCGUAACUUCGGGAGAAGGCACGCUGACACGUAGGUGAAGUGA
rnacentral:rRNA from 1 species